CUGAGUAAUAAUCAUCCAAACAAUAGUUUUUGAAUCUCUGAAAGCUGUGGUGAUUUUCUUACCCGCUCUCCUUUGACUCCAGGAGUGCCAGGAGGGCCUGGAAUACCAGGAAGACCAGGAUCACCUUUGGGUCCCUAUACAACAAAACCCCACAGGAACAUUUAGAAGCAUCAACUUACUGUUGCCCCGGCAACACCCUGAGGACCUGGACCUCCAUCAAGACCACGAGCCCCCUGCCAGACGACAACAUUUGACAGAGCCCAUCAAGCCUGUGGCUCCACGGAUCCCCUGGCCGCCCUGAAACAACAAAACAAAGGCAACAAGUGUUCCCGUUUUGCCGAGUUCACCCGGAAGUCCUCCCGGUCCAGGUGGUCCCUGUUGUUGAGGAUCAUUUCAAACUGAGG